GACCAUCCUCCAAGGCUAAAUACUCCUGACUGACCGAUAGUGAACCAGUACCGUGAGGGAAAGGCGAAAAGAACCCCGGCGAGGGGAGUGAAAAAGAACCUGAAACCGUGUACGUACAAGCAGUGGGAGCACCCUUUUGGGUGUGACUGCGUACCUUUUGUAUAAUGGGUCAGCGACUUAUAUUCUGUAGCAAGGUUAACCGAAUAGGGGAGCCGGAGGGAAACCGAGUCUUAAUUGGGCGUUAAGUUGCAGGGUAUAGACCCGAAACCCGGUGAUCUAGCCAUGGGCAGGUUGAAGGUUGGGUAACACUAACUGGAGGACCGAACCGACUAAUGUUGAAAAAUUAGCGGAUGACCUGUGGCUGGGGGUGAAAGGCCAAUCAAACCGGGAGAUAGCUGGUUCUCCCCGAAAGCUAUUUAGGUAGCGCCUCGUGAAUUCAUCUCCGGGGGUAGAGCACUGUUUCGGCUAGGGGGCCAUCCCGGCUUACCAACCCGAUGCAAACUGCGAAUACCGGAGAAUGUUAUCACGGGAGACACACGGCGGGUGCUAACGUCCGUCGUGAAGAGGGAAACAACCCAGACCGCCAGCUAAGGUCCCAAAGUCAUGGUUAAGUGGGAAACGAUGUGGGAAGGCCCAGACAGCCAGGAUGUUGGCUUAGAAGCAGCCAUCAUUUAAAGAAAGCGUAAUAGCUCACUGGUCGAGUCGGCCUGCGCGGAAGAUGUAACGGGGCUAAACCAUGCACCGAAGCUGCGGCAGCGACACUCAGGUGUUGUUGGGUAGGGGAGCGUUCUGUAAGCCUGUGAAGGUGUGUCGUGAGGCAUGCUGGAGGUAUCAGAAGUGCGAAUGCUGACAUAAGUAACGAUAAAGCGGGUGAAAAGCCCGCUCGCCGGAAGACCAAGGGUUCCUGUCCAACGUUAAUCGGGGCAGGGUGAGUCGACCCCUAAGGCGAGGCCGAAAGGCGUAGUCGAUGGGAAACGGGUUAAUAUUCCCGUACUUGGUGUUACUGCGAAGGGGGGACGGAGAAGGCUAUGUUGGCCGGGCGACGGUUGUCCCGGUUUAAGCGUGUAGGUGUGUGUUCCAGGUAAAUCCGGUU
rnacentral:rRNA from 1 species